rnacentral:rRNA from 1 species
GCCUAGCCAUAAAAAAACAACCAAACAACCAGUUGUUCGCCAAAUAACUACGAGUGAAAACUUAAAACUUAAAAGACUUGACGGUACUUCACACCAACCUAGAGGAGCCUGUCUAAUAACCGAUAAUCCACGAUAAACCCAACCCAACCUAGCCAACAAUCCAGUCUAUAUACCGCCGUCGCCAGCCUACCUUGUGAAAGAAAAAGAGUAAGCACAACAGCACACACUAAUACGACAGGUCGAGGUGUAACUCAUGGUUGGGAAAAGAUGGGCUACAUUUUCUAACACAGAACAAACGGAUACACCUUGAAACAGGAAACUGAAGGAGGAUUUAGCAGUAAGAUAAGAACAAAAUACUUACCCGAAAUUUGCAAUGAAGUACGC